UACAGAGGGGGCAAGCGUUGUUCGGAAUUACUGGGCGUAAAGGGCGCGUAGGCGGCCUGCUAAGUCGAACGUGAAAUCCCCGGGCUCAACCCGGGAACUGCGUCCGAUACUGGCAGGCUUGAAUCCGGGAGAGGGAUGUGGAAUUCCAGGUGUAGCGGUGAAAUUCGUAGAUAUUCGGAAGAACACCAGUGGCGAAGGCGGCUCACUGGACUGGUAUUGACGCUGAGGUGCGAAAGCGUGGGGAGCAAACAGG
rnacentral:rRNA from 1 species